rnacentral:rRNA from 1 species
UUCCAGACUCCUACGGGAGGCAGCAGUGAGGAAUAUUGGUCAAUGGGCGCGAGCCUGAACCAGCCAAGUCGCGUGAGGGAUGACGGCCCUACGGGUUGUAAACCUCUUUUGUCGGGGAGCAAAUUCCGUUACGUGUAACGGAGUCGAGAGUACCCGAAGAAAAAGCAUCGGCUAACUCCGUGCCAGCAGCCGCGGUAAUACGGAGGAUGCGAGCGUUAUCCGGAUUUAUUGGGUUUAAAGGGUGCGUAGGCGGGAUGCCAAGUCAGCGGUAAAAAUGCGGUGCUCAACGCCGUCGAGCCGUUGAAACUGGCGUUCUUGAGUGGGCGAGAAGUAUGCGGAAUGCGUGGUGUAGCGGUGAAAUGCAUAGAUAUCACGCAGAACUCCGAUUGCGAAGGCAGCAUACCGGCGCCCUACUGACGCUGAGGCGCGAAAGCGUGGGUAUCGAACAGGAUUAGAUACCCCCGUA